UACGGGGGGGGCAAGCGUUGUUCGGAAUUACUGGGCGUAAAGGGCUCGUAGGCGGCCAACUAAGUCGGACGUGAAAUCCCCAGGCUCAACCUGGGAACUGCGUCCGAUACUGGAUGGCUUGAAUUCGGGAGAGGGAUGCAGAAUUCCAGGUGUAGCGGUGAAAUGCGUAGAUAUCGCUUGGAACGCCGAAGGUGAAAACAGGUUGCUGGGGUUGUGCCGACGCUGAGACACGAAAGCCAGGGGAGCAAACGGG
rnacentral:rRNA from 1 species